UACGGGGGGGGCAAGCGUUGUUCGGAUUUACUGGGCGUAAAGGGCGCGUAGGCGGCUCCGCAAGUCGGCUGUGAAAUCUCCGGGCUUAACUCGGAAAGGUCAGCCGAUACUGCGGGGCUAGAGUGCAGAAGGGGCAACUGGAAUUCUCGGUGUAGCGGUGAAAUGCGUAGAUAUCGAGAGGAACACCUGCGGCGAAGGCGGGUUGCUGGGCUGACACUGACGCUGAUGCGCGAAAGCUAGGGGAGCGAACGGG
rnacentral:rRNA from 1 species